rnacentral:pre_miRNA from 1 species
AAUAAGUAUAGUUUUACCCUGUUCAUGGCGUUUGACCGUUCGUCUUAUUUGAAAAAUUCUUAAUUUAUAUUUUUAUUGUUAUUAGAUGAUAAAAUAUGAAUAGUAUUUUUUAAAAAAAAUUCAUAAUUCUUUUUCAAAUAAAACAGACAGUUAAAUACUAUACGCGGAUAUCCACGGUUACCCAUAUU